rnacentral:rRNA from 1 species
GAUUAACGCUGGCGGCGCACAUAAGACAUGCAAGUCGAACGGAAGUCGUUAUAACUCAGAACGAAGAUUUAUCUGAGGGACGAGAUAUAACAAUGGCUUUAGUGGCGGACUGGUGAGUAACACGUAAGAAACCUGCCUAUUAGAGGGGAAUAACAACGAGAAAUCGUUGCUAAUACCGCAUAAGCUAGUAGUACCGCAUGGUACAGCUAGAAAAGGAGAAAUCCGCUAAUAGAUGGUCUUGCGUCCGAUUAGCUAGUUGGUGGGGUAACGGCCUACCAAGGCAACGAUCGGUAGCCGAGCUGAGAGGCUCAACGGCCACAUUGGGACUGAGAUACGGCCCAGACUCCUACGGGAGGCAGCAGUCGGGAAUAUUGCGCAAUGGAGGAAACUCUGACGCAGUGACGCCGCGUAUAGGAAGAAGGUUUUCGGAUUGUAAACUAUUUUAGACAGGGAGGAAAUUGACAGUACCUGUAGAAUAAG